rnacentral:lncRNA from 1 species
UUAUAUGGGUGGGCUCCCAACUUCAAAACUUUGAAAAUAAAUCGCCAUUCUGUUCUUCAGGGGGGCUCCUGACCUCAACAACAACUGAACAUUGAUAAUCUUAAGAAAACUAAAAAAAAUGACUCCUUUUUUUUCAAAUUCAAACUUCUUCUUUUUUUCAAAUUAUCCUAGGAGAAAAUUCAUCAGACUAGAUUUUGAUCCUAGGAGAAGAUUCAUCCGACUAAAAUUUUGGUAUAUUAUCUUCGGAGAAAAAUUCCAUCGGACCAAGAUUUUGACUCUAGGAGAUAAAUCGUCAAACUAGGUCCAUUUUGUUGUGAUCUUACGAGAAAGAUUCAUCGGACUAAGAUUUGAUAUCUUAGGAGAAAUUUCAUCGGACUAAAAUUUCUAUCUUAGGAGAAAAAUUCAUCGGACUAAGAUUUGAUAUCUUAGGAGAAAAUUUCAUCGGACUAAGAUUUUGACUCUAGGAGAUAAAUCGUCAAACUAGGUCCAUUUUGUUGUGAUCUUAGGAGAAAGAUUCAUCGGACUAAGAUUUGAUAUCUUAGGAGAAAAUUUCAUCGGACUAAGUUUCUAUCUUAGGAGAAAAAUUCAUCGGACUAAAAUUUCU